UGUGGUGGGCGCCUGUAAUCCCAGCUACUCGGGAGGCUGAGACAGGAGAAUCGCUUGAACCCGGGAGGCAAAAGUUGCAGUGAGCCAAGAUCAGGCCACUGCACUCCAGCCUGGGCGACAGAGGGAGACUCCGUCUCAAAAAAAGAAAAAAAAAAAAAAAGAAUGAGAAAACCACAGGAUAUACACACAAAAAGCAUUUCCCCCUCAUUACUUCUGCCUCCACAAAGAUGGUUUUGUUUUGUUUUUUUAUUUUUCAACAUGAACUGUUCUACUACAGGAGAGGUUUUUCUAUUUAUCUAAAUUGAUCACUAUAAAGAAAGAAGAUUUGGGAAGUAUAGACAUGGACCCAAAAAAUCACAAAUUCUAAAGAAGUUUAUUUUAAAAUUAAUUUCAGAGAGCUCAUCCUCCAGAACGCUUAGACCAUUCUAUGUGUCUGAGCUUACUCAACAAAAAAAUAAGAGCUGGGCAGGGUUGAUAUAAAAACAAGUACUGAGAAGCUAUAGGAACUGUUUUAUGGGCAGGAUCAAGAGACUUGUUUGUGUAUCUAAUAAUUAAGUCAAAAUUAAAGAGUGAAACAUAUGAGCACAUACUUCUUUUACGAGAUGUAGACAGAGAACUAUUUAGAGAUGCAAACAAAAUAAAGUUGACCUAAAAAAUCAGAAAAAAAGCUUGCUGACAUUCAUAACUUUACGUUAUCAUUUCUCAAAGAAAAUAGUAAAAUGGGCCGGCAUGAUGGCUCACGCCUGUAAUCCAACACUUUGGGAAGCCGAGGCGGGC
rnacentral:lncRNA from 1 species